UACGGAAGGCAGCAGUGGGGAAUAUUGCACAAUGGGCGCAAGCCUGAUGCAGCCAUGCCGCGUGUAUGAAGAAGGCCUUCGGGUUGUAAAGUACUUUCAGUCGUGAGGAAGGUGUUAAGGUUAAUAACCUUAGCAAUUGACGUUAGCGACAGAAGAAGCACCGGCUAACUCCGUGCCAGCAGCCGCGGUAAUACGGAGGGUGCGAGCGUUAAUCGGAAUUACUGGGCGUAAAGGGCACGCAGGCGGUUAAUUAAGUUGGAUGUGAAAUCCCCGGGCUUAACCUGGGAAUGGCAUUCAAGACUGGUUAGCUAGAGUCUUGUAGAGGGGGUAGAAUUCCAUGUGUAGCGGUGAAAUGCGUAGAGAUGUGGAGGAAUACCGGUGGCGAAGGCGGCCCCUGGACAAAGACUGACGCUCAUGUGCGAAAGCGUGGGGAAGCAAACAGGGAUUAGAUACC
rnacentral:rRNA from 1 species